AGUCCUUGAUGUCCUACCAAGGAAGACGUCCUCACAUCUUGCAGCAGGAACCCAUUGAUACGGCGCCCACCUUGACUUCCGAAUGGGACAGCGCAUCCUCAGAAGCAACGGUGAUGGCGGUGAUGGCGCCUGCAUCACACAUCGAAGACGCUUGUGCUGAUAGCUCAAGCCCUUGAAAACCCAGCCAAGGUCAGUGUCGUAUCCUCCAGGAAUCCUGGCCGGCAAGAUGUGCUGGAAGUUGCUGCCGCCACCAGAGCCACCUCUGUUGCCGGCCGCCCCAUCCUUGGACCUUCGCCAAGCCAGCCCAGCCAGUCCUCCGAGGGCCGCGACUCCCGCCGUCACUAGUCCCGCUGCUGACCAGCAGCGGCCCCGCACAGGUGCGGUCACCUGUGUCACACGGAUGCUCCUCGGGGCCACGUGGACAUUUCCAGCCCAGGCCGCAGGGGGGCGCUGGCCCAGAGCCUCUGCGCAUGUGCAGCCCCUCCCGAGGCCCACUCGGGGAGGAGGCCGCGCGGGUCUCUGCUGCAGAGAUCCUGAAGGGAUGGAACAGGAAGAGCAGGCUGCUGCCGCGGGCCACGACGGAGAAGGAAUUUCAGGGCUUAUUUUAACAAACAAAUCAAACCACACCUCGUUAAAGUUCUGAACAUUUCCCAUUGCAAGCAAGGAGGAGCUCUGAAGAGGCCUGACCAGAGGGAAAGAGCAGCCAAAACACAACAGCAGAGUGCACACAGUGUACAACAGAAACACUUCCUGAAGUUUCAGGCCCUGGAUAAUGUAUGAUCCCUUUUUAAUAUAGCAUUACUCUUGGGUACAGGAAACAUAAGAAACUUUCAAAAUAACCAAAGACAGAAACUUAGGCAAAAUAACAAGAUGGAGGAAGAGCAAGAUGGCGGAAGAGUAGGGUCUCCAAAUCACCUGUCUCCACCAAAUUACCUAGAAAACCUUCCAAUCAUCCUGAAAAUCUAUGAAUUCGGCCUGAGAAUUAAAGAGAGAACACCUGGAAUGCUACAGUGAGAAGAGUUCGCGCAUCUAUCAAGGUAGGAAGACGGGGAAAAAGAAGUAAAGAA
rnacentral:lncRNA from 1 species